GGUGAAAGGCCAAUCAAACUUCGUGAUAGCUGGUUCUCUCCGAAAUAUAUUUAGGUAUAGCGUUGUGUCGUAAUAUAAGGGGGUAGAGCACUGAAUGGGCUAGGGCAUACACCAAUGUACCAAACCCUAUCAAACUCCGAAUACCUUAUAUGUAAUCACAGCAGUCAGGCGGCGAGUGAUAAAAUCCGUCGUCAAGAGGGAAACAACCCAGACUACCAGCUAAGGUCCCUAAAUCUUACUUAAGUGGAAAACGAUGUGAAGUUACUUAAACAACCAGGAGGUUGGCUUAGAAGCAGCCAUCCUUUAAAGAAAGCGUAAUAGCUCACUGGUCUAGUGAUUUUGCGCGGAAAAUAUAACGGGGCUAAAGUAAGUACCGAAGCUGUAGACUUGCACACAACUUAGAUUAUUUAAGUUUAGAAUAUGAGAAACUAAGUUAUAUGUUUAGUUAUAUUUUUACUGAUUUUUAUAGAGUAAAGAUAGAAAUAAAACUUAGUAAAAUCAGUAAAAAUAUUCUUAGGCUAAAGUUAAGUAGUUUAAGUUGUGUGCAAGUGGUAGGAGAGCGUUCUAUUUGCGUCGAAGGUAUACCGGUAAGGAGUGCUGGAGCGAAUAGAAGUGAGCAUGCAGGCAUGAGUAGCGAUAAUUAAUGUGAGAAUCAUUAACGCCGUAAACCCAAGGUUUCCUACGCGAUGCUCGUCAUCGUAGGGUUAGUCGGGUCCUAAGUCGAGUCCGAAAGGGGUAGACGAUGGCAAAUUGGUUAAUAUUCCAAUACCAACAUUAGUGUGCGAUGGAAGGACGCUUAGGGCUAAGGGGGCUAGCGGAUGGAAGUGCUAGUCUAAGGUUGUAGGAGGUUAUACAGGCAAAUCCGUAUAACAAUACUCCGAGAACUGAAAGGCUUUUUGAAGUCUUCGGAUGGAUAGAAGAACCCCUGAUGCCGUCGAGCCAAGAAAAGUUUCUAAGUUUAGCUAAUGUUGCCCGUACCGUAAACCGACACAGGUGGGUGGGAUGAGUAUUCUAAGGCGCGUGGAAGAACUCUCUUUAAGGAACUCUGCAAAAUAGCACCGUAUCUUCGGUAUAAGGUGUGGUUAGCUUCGUACUAGGAUUUACUCCGAAAGCGAAGAAACUUACAACAAAGAGUCCCUCCCGACUGUUUACCAAAAACACAGCACUCUGCUAACUCGUAAGAGGAUGUAUAGGGUGUGACGCCUGCCCGGUGCUCGAAGGUUAAUUGAUGGGGUUAGCAUUAGCGAAGCUCUUGAUCGAAGCCCGAGUAAACGGCGGCCGUAACUAUAACGGUCCUAAGGUAGCGAAAUUCCUUGUCGGUUAAAUACCGACCUGCAUGAAUGGCGUAACGAGAUGGGAGCUGUCUCAAAGAGGGAUCCAGUGAAAUUGUAGUGGAGGUGAAAAUUCCUCCUACCCGCGGCAAGACGGAAAGACCCCGUGGACCUUUACUACAGCUUGACACUGCUACUUGGAUAAGAAUGUGCAGGAUAGGUGGGAGGCUUUGAGUAUAUGACGCCAGUUGUAUAUGAGCCAUUGUUGAGAUACCACUCUUUCUUAUUUGGGUAGCUAACCAGCUUGAGUUAUCCUCAAGUGGGACAAUGUCUGGUGGGUAGUUUGACUGGGGCGGUCGCCUCCCAAAUAAUAACGGAGGCUUACAAAGGUUGGCUCAGAACGGUUGGAAAUCGUUCGUAGAGUAUAAAGGUAUAAGCCAGCUUAACUGCAAGACAUACAAGUCAAGCAGAGACGAAAGUCGGUCUUAGUGAUCCGGUGGUUCUGUGUGGAAGGGCCAUCGCUCAAAGGAUAAAAGGUACCCCGGGGAUAACAGGCUGAUCUCCCCCAAGAGCUCACAUCGACGGGGAGGUUUGGCACCUCGAUGUCGGCUCAUCGCAUCCUGGGGCUGGAGCAGGUCCCAAGGGUAUGGCUGUUCGCCAUUUAAAGCGGUACGCGAGCUGGGUUCAGAACGUCGUGAGACAGUUCGGUCCCUAUCUGCCGUGGGCGUAAGAAGAUUGAAGAGAUUUGACCCUAGUACGAGAGGACCGGGUUGAACAAACCACUGGUGUAGCUGUUGUUCUGCCAAGAGCAUCGCAGCGUAGCUAAGUUUGGAAAGGAUAAACGCUGAAAGCAUCUAAGCGUGAAGCCAACUCUAAGAUGAAUCUUCUCUAAGCUCUCUAGAAGACUACUAGUUUGAUAGGCUGGGUGUGUAAUGGAUGAAAGUCCUUUAGCUGACCAGUACUAAUAGAGCGUUUGGCUUAUCUUU
rnacentral:rRNA from 1 species